rnacentral:rRNA from 1 species
GAUGAACGCUGGCGGCGUGCUUAACACAUGCAAGUCGAACGAUGAAGCUCAGCUUGCUGGGUGGAUUAGUGGCGAACGGGUGAGUAACACGUGAGUAACCUGCCCUUAACUCUGGGAUAAGCCUGGGAAACUAGGUCUAAUACCGGAUAGGAGCGCCUACUGCAUGGUGGGUGUUGGAAAGAUUUAUCGGUUUUGGAUGGACUCGCGGCCUAUCAGCUUGUUGGUGAGGUAAUGGCUCACCAAGGCGACGACGGGUAGCCGGCCUGAGAGGGUGACCGGCCACACUGGGACUGAGACACGGCCCAGACUCCUACGGGAGGCAGCAGUGGGGAAUAUUGCACAAUGGGCGAAAGCCUGAUGCAGCGACGCCGCGUGAGGGAUGACGGCCUUCGGGUUGUAAACCUCUUUCAGUAGGGAAGAAGCGAAAGUGACGGUACCUGCAGAAGAAGCACCGGCUAACUACGUG